rnacentral:rRNA from 1 species
UUCCUACGGGUGGCUGCAGUGGGGAAUAUUGCACAAUGGGGGAAACCCUGAUGCAGCAACGCCGCGUGAGCGAUGAAGGCCUUCGGGUCGUAAAGCUCUGUCCUAAGGGAAGAAUAAUGACGGUACCUUAGGAGGAAGCCCCGGCUAACUACGUGCCAGCAGCCGCGGUAAUACGUAGGGGGCAAGCGUUAUCCGGAAUCACUGGGCGUAAAGGGUGCGUAGGCGGCCGAUAAAGUCUGGGGUGAAAGGCUACGGCUUAACCGUAGUAAGCCUUGGAAACUUAUUGGCUUGAGUGCAGGAGAGGUAAGUGGAAUUCCUAGUGUAGCGGUGAAAUGCGUAGAUAUUAGGAGGAACACCAGUGGCGAAGGCGACUUACUGGACUGUAACUGACGCUGAGGCACGAAAGCGUGGGGAGCGAACAGGAUUAGAUACCCCUGUAGUC